rnacentral:rRNA from 1 species
GUCUGGCCUGCCCACUGAACUAGUGUUUAAACGGCCGCGGUAAUUUGACCGUGCGAAGGUAGCAUAAUCAAUAGUCUUUUAAUUGAAGGCUGGAAUGAACGGUCGGACAAAGAGCGUACUGUCUCUUAUAUAAAAAUUGAAUUUUACUUUUAAGUGAAAAGGCUUAAAUAGCUUGAAGGGACGAUAAGACCCUAUAAAACUUUACAAGGUGUGUUAUACUUUUCGAAUUUCAGUUUAAAGGAGGGUAUAAGAUUUUUGUUUUGUUGGGGCGAUAAAGAUAUAAAAUUGAGUAACUGUUGUUAAUACAUAAUAAUUAUCAUUAGUUUAGUUGAUCCUCUCUUAGAGAUUAGAAGAUCAAGUUACUUUAGGGAUAACAGCGUAAUUUUCUCUGAGAGUUCUUAUCGACGAGAGUAGUUGCGACCUCGAUGUUGAAUUAAGAUUUCUUUUAGGUGUAGCAGCUUAAAGAGUAGGUCUGUUCGACCUU